CUGCAGCAUAUGGCCAAGUGGGCAACUGUCAGAAAGGGGGGUGUCAAGGUGCCCAGACCAGAAUCCUUCUUCAGAGGAAAAUAAUCAAAAGAUCAAAUGAAACUUCUUCAUGAUUUACUGUACUGGGUGUGGUCAAGAUGAUAAGUGUCUGGGAAGUUGUUUCAAAUCAGUGCUGAAUGUUAGCUUUGCUGUCUGAAUAGAGAGUAAGGGAAUCCCUUUUUAGUUUCACUGUUGUUACUCCAACCCCUCUGUAAUCUUUCAGAAUGAGAGCAAGUGUUAAAAGAGGGAUUUGUCAGCACCUAUCAAGGUGGUCUCACUGCUGCUUCUCUUUCAAGGAGGAAGCUACUGAGUUGAAUGAAUAGAUUACUCCCGAAGAAGAAUGUUGGCUCUACCGUCUGCAAAGCAUUGCCAGUUCGUCUGUGAAUCAUUUAUCAGCUUUUGCACCAAAGCCACUCCACUACACUUCAUACAGUGAUGGCUCAUGGAAUGGGCUGGCCAGGAAGAGGAAGACUGCUCUAAGUCUUCACCUGGACUCAGACAGAAGGCAAGCUCUGCCUUGCAGGCAUAAAGCAUAAACUCUUGCAGUUUCUUCAGCAAGAGAAUGAAUGCUAUGAAAUAAGGAGCUAGUUGUUCUCAGGAAAAUGGAAUGGAAAUGAAAUAGAAAAAAGCCAAACUGUUAAAAUAAAGGAAGAAAGUAUAGUCCUUGUGGGGAGAAC
rnacentral:lncRNA from 1 species